UGAUACUAAGCCAUGCGAGUCAUUGUAGUAAUACAAGGCAGACGGCUCAGUAACGCGUAGUCAACCUAACCUAUGGACGGGGAUAAUCUCGGGAAACUGAGCAUAAUACCCGAUAGAACAUUAUGCCUGGAAUGGUUUAUGUUCCAGAUGAUUUAUCGCCGUAGGAUGGGACUGCGGCCUAUCAGUUUGUUGGUGAGGUAAUGGCCCACCAAGACUAUUACAGGUACGGGCUCUGAGAGGAGUAGCCCGGAGAUGGGUACUGAGACACGGACCCAGGCCCUAUGGGGCGCAGCAGGCGAGAAAACUUUGCAAUGUGCGAAAGCACGACAAGGUUAAUCCGAGUGGUUUCUGCUAAAGGAACCUUUUGUCGGUCCUAGAAACACCGAUGAAUAAGGGGUGGGCAAGUUCUGGUGUCAGCCGCCGCGGUAAAACCAGCACCUCAAGUGGUCAGGAUGAUUAUUGGGCCUAAAGCAUCCGUAGCCGGCUCUGUAAGUUUUCGGUUAAAUCUGUACGCUCAACGUACAGGCUGCCGGGAAUACUGCAGAGCUAGGGAGUGGGAGAGGUAGACGGUACUCGGUAGGAAGGGGUAAAAUCCUUUGAUCUAUUGAUGACCACCUGUGGCGAAGGCGGUCUACCAGAACACGUCCGACGGUGAGGGAUGAAAGCUGGGGGAGCAAACCGGAUUAGAUACCCGGGUAGUCCCAGCUGUAAACUAUGCAAACUCAGUGAUGCAUUGGCUUGUGGCCAAUGCAGUGCUGCAGGGAAGCCGUUAAGUUUGCCGCCUGGGAAGUACGUACGCAAGUAUGAAACUUAAAGGAAUUGGCGGGGGAGCACCACAAGGGGUGAAGCCUGCG
rnacentral:rRNA from 1 species